rnacentral:rRNA from 1 species
ACGGGUGAGUAAUGCCUAGGAAUCUGCCUGGUAGUGGGGGAUAACGUCCGGAAACGGGCGCUAAUACCGCAUACGUCCUACGGGAGAAAGCAGGGGACCUUCGGGCCUUGCGCUAUCAGAUGAGCCUAGGUCGGAUUAGCUUGUUGGUGAGGUAAAGGCUCACCAAGGCGACGAUCCGUAACUGGUCUGAGAGGAUGAUCAGUCACACUGGAACUGAGACACGGUCCAGACUCCUACGGGAGGCAGCAGUGGGGAAUAUUGGACAAUGGGCGAAAGCCUGAUCCAGCCAUGCCGCGUGUGUGAAGAAGGUCUUCGGAUUGUAAAGCACUUUAAGUUGGGAGGAAGGGUUGUAGAUUAAUACUCUGCAAUUUUGACGUUACCGACAGAAUAAGCACCGGCUAACUUCGUGCC